AAUAUGUGGCAUACGGCUCAGUAACACGUAGUCAACAUGCCCAGGGGACGUGGAUAACCUCGGGAAACUGAGGAUAAACCGCGAUAGGUCAUCACUUCUGGAAUGGGUAAUGACUUAAACCUAUAUGGCCCCUGGAUUGGACUGCGGCCGAUCAGGCUGUUGGUGAGGUAAUGGCCCACCAAACCUGUAACCGGUACGGGCUCUGAGAGGAGGAGCCCGGAGAUGGGCACUGAGACAAGGGCCCAGGCCCUAUGGGGCGCAGCAGGCGCGAAACCUCUGCAAUAGGCGAAAGCUUGACAGGGUUACUCUGAGUGAUUUCCGUUAAGGAGAUCUUUUGGCACCUCUAAAAAUGGUGCAGAAUAAGGGGUGGGCAAGUCUGGUGUCAGCCGCCGCGGUAAUACCAGCACCCCGAGUGGUCGGGACGUUUAUUGGGCCUAAAGCAUCCGUAGCCGGUUCUACAAGUCUUCCGUUAAAUCCACCUGCUUAACAGAUGGGCUGCGGAAGAUACUAUAGAGCUAGGAGGCGGGAGAGGCAAGCGGUACUCGAUGGGUAGGGGUAAAAUCCGUUGAUCCAUUGAAGACCACCAGUGGCGAAGGCGGCUUGCCAGAACGCGCUCGACGGUGAGGGAUGAAAGCUGGGGGAGCAAACCGGAUUAGAUACCCGGGUAGUCCCAGCUGUAAACGA
rnacentral:rRNA from 1 species